rnacentral:rRNA from 1 species
CGACUCGGACUAUGGCGAGAAGUGGCAAACUGCUCAGUAACACGUAGCCAACCUACCCUCAGGACGGAGACAACCCCGGGAAACUGGGGUUAAUCCCCGAUAGGCGUGGAUUCCUGGAAUGGUGUCACGCCGAAACGUUAACACACCAUGUUUGUGUACACGCCUGAGGAUGGGGCUGCGGCCGAUCAGGCAGUUGGUGAGGUAACGGCUCACCAAACCUUUGACCGGUACGGGCCGUGAGAGCGGUAGCCCGGAGAUGGACACUGAGACAAGGGUCCAGGACCUACGGGUCGCAGCCGGUACGAAACCUCCACAAUGCACGCAAGUGCGAUGGGGUUACCUCGAGUGCCGUCUGAAGAAGGCGGCUUUUCCAUUGUGUAAUGAGCCGUGGGAAUAAGGGGGGGGCAAGACUGGUGUCAGCCGCCGCGGUAACACCAGCCCCCCGAGUGGUGGGGAUGUUUAUUUGGCCUAAAACGUCCGUAGCCAGCUAGGUAAAUCUCUCGUUAAAUCCAGCGUCCUAAGCGUUGGGCUGCGAGAGAGACUGCCAAGCUAGAGGGUGGGAGAGGUCAGCGGUAUUUCUGGGGUAGGGGCGAAAUCCAUUGAUCCCAGGAGGACCACC